rnacentral:rRNA from 1 species
ACGGGUGAGUAAUGUAUCGGAACGUGCCCAGUAGCGGGGGAUAACUACGCGAAAGCGUAGCUAAUACCGCAUACGCCCUACGGGGGAAAGCAGGGGAUCGCAAGACCUUGCACUAUUGGAGCGGCCGAUAUCGGAUUAGUUAGUUGGUGGGGUAACGGCUCACCAAGGCGACGAUCCGUAGCUGGUUUGAGAGGACGACCAGCCACACUGGGACUGAGACACGGCCCAGACUCCUAUGGGAGGCAGCAGUGGGGAAUUUUGGACAAUGGGGGAAACCCUGAUCCAGCCAUCCCGCGUGUGCGAUGAAGGCCUUCGGGUUGUAAAGCACUUUUGGCAGGAAAGAAACGUCAUGGGCUAAUACCCCGUGAAACUGACGGUACCUGCAGAAUAAGCACCGGCUAACUACGUGCCAGCAGCCGCGGUAAUACGUACGGUGCAAGCGUUAAUCGGAAUUACUGGGCGUAAAGCGUGCACAGGCGGUUCGGAAAGAAAGAUGUGAAAU